AAAAGAGAGAUGCCAUGAAAACACUAAGGAGUAAGAGUAAAUAUAUAAAGGUAUAAAGAAGACGUAAAGACAGUUCAUGAGAUCACUCGCUCAGCGUGCACAGGCUCCUUGGAAGGGUAGAGAUGACACACACUGCCUAGGAAAACAGACGCUGUUUUAGAGAAAAAUCCUGAGUACAAAAGGAGAGAGAACACUCUAAACACAAUAGAACUUGGAAAGAGAAUUGCUAUAAGCAAUGACUGAGAUGGAGCCUGAGGUCAGCUUUUGUGGCGCAAGUCAGAUUCGCCCUUUCUCAGGCAUAGAGUCUCCUCAGCUGAGCUACAAAGUUUGCUCCAACCUACACAUGAUCAAAAGGACCACAUGCUAUAGAAAUGGUAAUGUUCCGUCCCCGUGUGUUUACAUUCAUUUAUCCACCAGUGCCUACCCCUUUGUAUUUAUCACAUGUGCUAACACUUGCUGGUCCAGUACAGUCGGGACUGAAGAGAUGACACAGUUGGGAAAGGGUUUGUUGUAUACAUAUGAGAACCAAGUUACUCCUCAGCAUCCAUGUAGAGAGGCAGGCUUGGUAGAGCUUGUCAUUCCAGUGCUAGAGAGAGGAAGACAGGCAGGUCUCUGGGGCUUGCUGGCUAGCCAGGCUAGUCUAACCAAUGGGUUCCAGCCAGUGAGAUCCAGUCUCAGAACAAGGUGGCCAUCUCUUGAGGAAGGCACCUGAACAGACCUCAGAAUUCAUGAACAUACUACAAAGUAGGCAAUUUUGUAUAAUUGCCCUAGUACACAGCCCCACACCCCUUGCAUAAUUUUAGGGGUGAUACACACUCAAGCGGGAAAAGAACGCAUUUCAUAUCUGCAAGAAAGUAACUAGCAAAAGCAACCGAGUGAAGGAAGGGUUUGUUAUAGCUCACAGUUAGGGGAACCAGACAAUUUUGUUGGGGAAGGCAGGAUAAUAGAGUAGCGGAUGGCCAGACACAUCGUGCCCCAGUCAUCCCAAAGAGAGAUGAAUGUUUGUGUUUUGCUGGCUUUCUCUUUCCAUUCAAUUUAGGACCCCAGCCCAUAGGACGGUGUCUGCACAUUCAAGAUGUGUCUCCUUGCUUGGAUAAACCUUUCUGGAAGUAUUUUCAUACUUUCAUACCAAUAACUGCCAUUAGUUAUUGGUAGUGUCUUUUACUCAGGUAGUAAAUAAUGCCCCCAAAUCAAGAAUUGGCUCUCACAUCUUGAACGCGGCAGUUUAUGACAAAGAAGAAAAUUUUUAUCAGCAAUGGAUAAACACUACAUUUAAGGGAUGUUCACACAUGUGCCUGUUGUACGUUAAUGCAUAGACUGACUCAAAACUACUUCACUGGGGCUGGUGGUGUGGCCUAGUAGUAUAGCAUGUACUUCCAGGGCAUAAGAUCCCUAGCUCCACCCCCAACAUGCUUUCAAAUUCUUCCCAUCCACACUCCCUGCAAGGAGAACCAAGGAAAACCAAGAAUGGGCUCUGUAUGGGAAAGAAAGCCUAACAAAAGGCAAAGGGAGUCCCAGCAUAGUAGGCACAGGAGGGGAAAGUUAUAAGACUCCAGCAGCAUGAAGGAAGCAAGCUAGAGAAGAGAAGGUGGGCUGGGAGGGAAGUGGGAGAGACUAGAAGAAACUGGGAGAGAAGAGAUGCUGCUGAUAAGAAGUUAUAAAUGACUCUUGUGUUCUUUGGUAGAUCUAUCGCCUGGGUAGCUUCAGGAUGAUCGAUAUUUUCAGGUUUUCAGAGAGCUAUUGGCAUCAUCUACUUCCCAAACACAGGCUGUCUCGUGAACUGAAAUAACUUUGAUUCUGCUGUGAAAUGUGUCAAAUUAAUGAGGCCUGGGAGUUCUAAUAGUUCGAUAGAUCUUUGAUUGACGGGUCAUGAGAACACUAGUUAAUAAUCUUAGAAAGAAAAUACUUUAAAAUCUAUAGAGAAUAAGAAUCUUUGUCUUCAAAAUAAUCACAGCAAAAAGCCAUGAGAAAGCAUCCUUUUAGAAUUUGAAAGACAUUGUUUUAAUGUUUAAAAUAGACAAGUAAGCUGCCUGUGGUUUUUUUCUAUUUGUUUGUUUCAGAUGUACUAAUGUGUCUCUAAGGAACUGUAAUUGUUACCCAGAGUUUUCCUUUGCAUGUUGUUUUUCCUUCACCUGCUGACAGGACAGUCAAGUGCAGUCUCUGACCGUCACCUACCUCUUGAUUUUGACCUCAGAAUCAACGCCUAACUCUAAUCAAUGAGAGACAGAUGUAUCUCCUCAUUAAAAUCAGCAACAUGAAUGGUAGAUUAUUCUUGUUUACAGCACACUAGGAAAAAUAUAAGUGCUUAGAAAUUAGACUUUGUGAUUUAUACUACAGAGCAAAUUAUUCAGUUACUAUUAAAAUAAUGUUUAUUCAAAUAUUUGUUCAGAUGUAUAUGAUGGACAAAUAAAAGAUUAUUUUAAAAUAGAA
rnacentral:lncRNA from 1 species